AUAUCUUCACAAACAUGAUUGGGCCAUCGGCUCACACGAUAUUAACUCAAUUUUUUAAAGGGGAGAGUCCAUUAAGGUAGCUUGCUGCCUCGGCUCUCGCGCGUCGCCCAUACAUUGCACUACUGCACGGGCCUGGCGCACCCUAC
rnacentral:snRNA from 1 species